rnacentral:rRNA from 1 species
GAUUAACGCUAGCGGCAGGCCUAAUACAUGCAAGUCGAGGGGCAGCAGGGUGUAGCAAUACAUCGCUGGCGACCGGCGCACGGGUGCGUAACACGUAUGCAACCUACCUUUAACUGGGGAAUAGCCCUCCGAAAGGAGGAUUAACACCGCAUAACAUCACGAGACGGCAUCGCCUUGUGAUCAAACCUCCGGGGGUUAAAGAUGGGCAUGCGUCCGAUUAGCUAGUUGGCGGGGUAACGGCCCACCAAGGCGACGAUCGGUAGGGGGUCUGAGAGGAUGAUCCCCCACACUGGUACUGAGACACGGACCAGACUCCUACGGGAGGCAGCAGUAAGGAAUAUUGCUCAAUGGCCGAAAGGCUGAAGCAGCAACGCCGCGUGGAGGAUGAAAUACUUUUGUAUGUAAACUCCUGUGAGAAGGGAAAAUAUGCAGAUUUUCUGCGUUGAUUGUACCUUCAGAGGAAGCCCCGGCUAACUACGUGCCAGCAGCCG